rnacentral:rRNA from 1 species
UAGGAUUUCCUUAGUAGCUGCGAGCGAACAGGAAAGAGCCCAGCACUGAAUCCCGCGGUCAGCAACGGCCGCCGGGAAAUGUAGUGUUAGGGAGGGCCCGUUUAUCUCGGAGCCGCGCGAUGCGUCCAAGUCCUUCUUGAACGGGGCCACAACCCAUAGAGGGUGCCAGGCCCGUAGCGACCGUCGCCGGUUUCGAGAGGGUUUCUCCUCAGAGUCGGAUUGCUUGAGAGUGCAGUCCUAAGUGGGUGGUAAACUCCAUCUAAGGCUAAAUAUAACCACGAGACCGAUAGCGAACAAGUACCGUGAGGGAAAGUUGAAAAGCACUUUGAAGAGAGAGUUAAACAGUACGUGAAACCGUUCAGGGGUAAACCUGAGCAACCCGAAAGAUCGAUCGGGGAAGUUCACCGUGUCUUGAUGCGCGAGCGUGAGUCGUGCGACGCGUGCAUUGCGGCUUGCCGUUGUGUGCGUGCUCCUUCUUGCGUGACCGGGUAUCGAGCGCGUGCACUCUUCCCCCAGUAGAACGUCGCGAUCCGUUGAGUGCUGGUCUAAGGCCUGCGGUGGAGCCCGUGUUGCUCGCUUUGCGGCGAGUGGCGCGGACCCGUGGUGUUCCCGACCAGCUCGCUCGACGGUAGCAUAGUAUGCAGCGUAGAGCCGCACACAUUUUGAAGUGCGUUCAGCCCGUCGCAAGCACGUCCGCCCGAUAAGUUGGUGUGACGGACACAAAGUGCCGUCCCCAGCCACGGACGACUGUUGGCGUGCGGUGUCUUUGAACAGACUCUCACACGCUCAUCUGCGGCGCUAUAGCUUUGGGUACGUUCAGGACCCGUCUUGAAACACGGACCAAGGAGUCUAGCAUGUGCGCGAGUCAUUGAGUAAAACGAAACUCAAAGGCGCAAUGAAAGUAAAAGCUGGCCUUGCGCCAGCCGAGGGAAGAUGAGCAAACGUACAAACACGCGUGCUCCGCACUCCCGGGGCGUCUCACGCUUUCCGCGAGCGGAGGCGCACCUAGAGCGUACACGCUGGGACCCGAAAGAUGGUGAACUAUGCUUGGUCAGGACGAAGUCAGGGGAAACCCUGAUGGAGGUCCGUAGCGAUUCUGACGUGCAAAUCGAUCGUCGGAACUGAGUAUAGGGGCGAAAGACUAAUCGAACUAUCUAGUAGCUGGUUCCCUCCGAAGUUUCCCUCAGGAUAGCUGGCGCUCAUGCGUACAAGUUUCAUCCGGUAAAGCGAAUGAUUAGAGGCAUUGGGGCCGAAACGGCCUCAACCUAUUCUCAAACUUUAAAUGGGUGAGAUCGCCGGCUUGCUUAAAUGCUUGAAGCCGUGCGCUCACAAUGUAUGAAUAGAG